UGGGGAAUAUUGCACAAUGGGCGCAAGCCUGAUGCAGCCAUGCCGCGUGUGUGAAGAAGGCCUUCGGGUUGUAAAGCACUUUCAGCGGGGAGGAAGGCGAUAAGGUUAAUAACCUUGUCGAUUGACGUUACCCGCAGAAGAAGCACCGGCUAACUCCGUGCCAGCAGCCGCGGUAAUACGGAGGGUGCAAGCGUUAAUCGGAAUUACUGGGCGUAAAGCGCACGCAGGCGGUCUGUCAAGUCGGAUGUGAAAUCCCCGGGCUCAACCUGGGAACUGCAUUCGAAACUGGCAAGCUAGAGUCUUGUAGAGGGGGGUAGAAUUCCAGGUGUCGCGGUGAAAUGCGUAGAGAUCUGAAGGAAUACCGGUGGCGAAGGCGGCCCCCUGGACAAAGACUGACACACAGGUGCGAAAGCGUGGGGAGCAAACAGG
rnacentral:rRNA from 1 species